GCCCGGGUGGCGAAAUUGGUAGACGCACCAGAUUUAGGUUCUGGCGCCGCAAGGCGUGGGGGUUCGAGUCCCUUCCCGGGCA
rnacentral:tRNA from 1 species